rnacentral:tRNA from 1 species
GCUAUGGUAGCUCAGAUGGCAAGGGUAUCUAGCUCCUAACUGGAAGGUCCUGGGUUCAAUCCUAGGUAGCA